AUGAUUUUAGUGAUGACUACGCCAUUUAUGAUGAUUGUUUUGGUGGUGAUUCUGAUGGGGGUUGCAAUGGUGUUGAUGACAAUGUUGAUUAUACCAAGGGAGUUUUUGCACCAGGCACAGCCUGUAGCCGAAGGUGAUUGUGACAAAUCUAAUGAGCCAGAGCUUGGGCAGCAAUUCCAUGCUGGUAGUGUUGACAUUUCUGAAGGGAAGCAAGUUGGGUUUGAUUGUCAAGGUGGCAUGUCAGUUACGAUUGAAGGUUUGCUUGAUGCUAGACAGGCACCUGAAGGUGCUUGUGCGGGUGUAUUUGUCAUGGAUGGCCUUGGUGAUGAUGUCAAUCAUGUAGCAAGUUUUGAAGGAAAACAAGUGUUGAAGGAUACAGCUAUGCCUGAAAGCAUUGGAGCCGGAGGUGAUGUAUUUUAUAUUCCGGUGUGCGAAGUCCUUGUUGUUGACGGAGCACGUGCAUCGAACAAGGACGCGAAGCCAGCUGUUGUUCUGAACUUCUGA
rnacentral:rRNA from 1 species